GAUGAACGCUAGCUACAGGCUUAACACAUGCAAGUCGAGGGGAAACGACAUCGAAAGCUUGCUUUUGAUGGGCGUCGACCGGCGCACGGGUGAGUAACGCGUAUCCAACCUGCCCACCACUUGGGGAUAACCUUGCGAAAGUAAGACUAAUACCCAAUGAUAUCUCUAGAAGACAUCUGAAAGAGAUUAAAGAUUUAUCGGUGAUGGAUGGGGAUGCGUCUGAUUAGAUUGUUGGCGGGGUAACGGCCCACCAAGGCGACGAUCAGUAGGGGGUCUGAGAGGAAGGUCCCCCACAUUGGAACUGAGACACGGUCCAAACUCCUACGGGAGGCAGCAGUGAGGAAUAUUGGUCAAUGGGCGAGAGCCUGAACCAGCCAAGUAGCGUGCAGGAUGACGGCCCUAUGGGUUGUAAACUGCUUUUAUAAGGGAAUAAAGUGAGCCUCGUGAGGCUUUUUGCAUGUACCUUAUGAAUAAGGACCGGCUAAUUCCGUGCCAGCCGCCGCGGUAA
rnacentral:rRNA from 1 species